AGAGUUUGAUCCUGGCUCAGAUUGAACGCUGGCGGCAUGCCUUACACAUGCAAGUCGAACGGCAGCACGGGAGCAAUCCUGGUGGCGAGUGGCGAACGGGUGAGUAAUAUAUCGGAACGUACCUUUCAGUGGGGGAUAACGUAGCGAAAGUUACGCUAAUACCGCAUAUUCUGUGAGCAGGAAAGCAGGGGAUCUUAGGACCUUGCGCUGAUUGAGCGGCCGAUAUCUGAUUAGCUAGUUGGUGAGGUAAAGGCUCACCAAGGCGACGAUCAGUAGCUGGUCUGAGAGGACGACCAGCCACACUGGAACUGAGACACGGUCCAGACUCCUACGGGAGGCAGCAGUGGGGAAUUUUGGACAAUGGGCGCAAGCCUGAUCCAGCAAUGCCGCGUGAGUGAAGAAGGCCUUCGGGUUGUAAAGCUCUUUUGUCAGGGAAGAAACGGUGAAGGCUAAUAUCCUUUGCUAAUGACGGUACCUGAAGAAUAAGCACCGGCUAACUACGUGCCAGCAGCCGCGGUAAUACGUAGGGUGCAAGCGUUAAUCGGAAUUACUGGGCGUAAAGCGUGCGCAGGCGGUUGUGUAAGACAGAUGUGAAAUGCCCGGGCUUAACCUGGGAACUGCAUUUGUGACUGCACGGCUAGAGUUUGGCAGAGGGGGGUAGAAUUCCACGUGUAGCAGUGAAAUGCGUAGAUAUGUGGAGGAAUACCGAUGGCGAAGGCAGCCCCCUGGGUCAAGACUGACGCUCAUGCACGAAAGCGUGGGGAGCAAACAGGAUUAGAUACCCUGGUAGUCCACGCCCUAAACGAUGUCUACUAGUUGUCGGGUCUUAAUUGACUUGGUAACGCAGCUAACGCGUGAAGUAGACCGCCUGGGGAGUACGGUCGCAAGAUUAAAACUCAAAGGAAUUGACGGGGACCCGCACAAGCGGUGGAUGAUGUGGAUUAAUUCGAUGCAACGCGAAAAACCUUACCUACCCUUGACAUGGAAGGAAUCCCGGAGAGAUCUGGGAGUGCCCGAAAGGGAACCUUUACACAGGUGCUGCAUGGCUGUCGUCAGCUCGUGUCGUGAGAUGUUGGGUUAAGUCCCGCAACGAGCGCAACCCUUGUCAUUCAUUAGUUGCUACGAAAGAGCACUCUAAUGAGACUGCCGGUGACAAACCGGAGGAAGGUGGGGAUGACGUCAAGUCCUCAUGGCCCUUAUGGGUAGGGCUUCACACGUCAUACAAUGGUACAUACAGAGGGCCGCCAACCCGCGAGGGGGAGCUAAUCCCAGAAAGUGUAUCGUAGUCCGGAUUGGAGUCUGCAACUCGACUCCAUGAAGUUGGAAUCGCUAGUAAUCGCGGAUCAGCAUGUCGCGGUGAAUACGUUCCCGGGUCUUGUACACACCGCCCGUCACACCAUGGGAGCGGGUUUUACCAGAAGUAGGUAGCUUAACCGCAAGGAGGGCGCUUACCACGGUAGGAUUCGUGACUGGGGUGAAGUCGUAACAAGGUAACCA
rnacentral:rRNA from 1 species